UACGAAGGGGGCUAGCGUUGCUCGGAAUUACUGGGCGUAAAGCGCGCGUAGGCGGCUUUGUAAGUUAGAGGUGAAAGCCCGGGGCUCAACCCCGGAACUGCCUUUAAAACUGCAUCGCUUGAAUCCGGGAGAGGUGAGUGGAAUUCCGAGUGUAGAGGUGAAAUUCGUAGAUAUUCGGAAGAACACCAGUGGCGAAGGCGGCUCACUGGACCGGCAUUGACGCUGAGGUGCGAAAGCGUGGGGAGCAAACAGG
rnacentral:rRNA from 1 species